rnacentral:rRNA from 1 species
CGGGACACGUGGUAUCCUGUCUGAAUAUGGGGGGACCAUCCUCCAAGGCUAAAUACUCCUGACUGACCGAUAGUGAACCAGUACCGUGAGGGAAAGGCGAAAAGAACCCCGGCGAGGGGAGUGAAAAAGAACCUGAAACCGUGUACGUACAAGCAGUGGGAGCACGCUUAGGCGUGUGACUGCGUACCUUUUGUAUAAUGGGUCAGCGACUUAUAUUCUGUAGCAAGGUUAACCGAAUAGGGGAGCCGAAGGGAAACCGAGUCUUAACUGGGCGUUAAGUUGCAGGGUAUAGACCCGAAACCCGGUGAUCUAGCCAUGGGCAGGUUGAAGGUUGGGUAACACUAACUGGAGGACCGAACCGACUAAUGUUGAAAAAUUAGCGGAUGACUUGUGGCUGGGGGUGAAAGGCCAAUCAAACCGGGAGAUAGCUGGUUCUCCCCGAAAGCUAUUUAGGUAGCGCCUCGUGAAUUCAUCUCCGGGGGUAGAGCACUGUUUCGGCAAGGGGGUCAUCCCGACUUACCAACCCGAUGCAAACUGCGAAUACCGGAGAAUGUUAUCACGGGAGACACACGGCGGGUGCUAACGUCCGUCGUGAAGAG